rnacentral:lncRNA from 1 species
GUCUUGUUCUAUUUUUAUACGACCGCAAAUUUUGAAAAAAUUUUCGUCGUAUAUUGCUAUCACGUUGGCGUCUGCGUCGUCGUCGUCGUCGUCGUCGUCGUCGUCGUCGUCGUCGUCGUCGUCGUCGUCGUCCGUCGUCCGAAUACUUUUAGUUUUCGCACUCUAACUUUAGUAAAAGUGAAUAGAAAUCUAUGAAAUUUUAACACAAGGUUUAUGACCAUAAAAGGAAGGUUGGUAUUGAUUUUGGGAGUUUUGGUCCCAACAUUUUAGGAAUAAGGGGCCAAAAAGGGCCCAAAUAAGCAUUUUCUUGGUUUUUCGCACCAUAACUUUAGUUUAAGUUAAUAGAAAUCUAUGAAAUUUUGACACAAGGUUUAUGACCACAAAAGAAAGAUGGGGAUUGAUUUUGGGAGUUUUGGUUUCAAUAGUUUAGGAAUAAGGGGCCAAUAAAGGGCCCAAAUAAGCAUUUUUCUUGGUUUUUGCACAAUAACCUUAGGUUAAGUAAAUGGAAAUCUAUGAAAUUUAAACAAAAUGUUUAUGACCACAAAAGGAAGGUUGGUAUUUAUUUUGGGAGUUUAGGACCCAACAGAUUAGGAAUUAGGGGCCAAAAAGGGACCCAAAUAAGCAUUUUUCUUGGUUUUCGCACUAUAAUGUUAGUAUAAGUAAAUACAAAUCUAUGAAAUUUAAACACAAGGCUUAUGACCAUAAAAGGAAGGUUGGUAUUGAUUUUGGGAGUUUUGGUCCCAACAGUUUAGGAAAAGGGGCCCAAAGGGUCCAAAAUUAAACUUUGUUUGAUUUCAUCAAAAUUGAAUAAUUGGG